rnacentral:rRNA from 1 species
GACGAACGCUGGCGGCGUGCUUAACACAUGCAAGUCGAGCGGUAAGGCCCUUUCGGGGGUACACGAGCGGCGAACGGGUGAGUAACACGUGGGUGACCUGCCCUCAGCUCUGGGAUAAGCCUGGGAAACCGAGUCUAAUACUGGAUAUGACUCCAUGACGCAUGUUGUGGGGUGGAAAGCCUUGUGCGGCUGAGGAUGGGCCCGCGGCCUAUCAGCUUGUUGGUGGGGUGAUGGCCUACCAAGGCGACGACGGGUGGCCGGCCUGAGAGGGCGACCGGCCACACUGGGACUGAGACACGGCCCAGACUCCUACGGGAGGCAGCAGUGGGGAAUCUUGCGCAAUGGGCGAAAGCCUGACGCAGCGACGCCGCGUGAGGGAUGAC